rnacentral:misc_RNA from 1 species
GAAAUGCGAUAAGUAGUGUGAAUUGCAGAAUUCAGUGAAUCAUCGAAUCUUUGAACGCACAUUGCGCUCCCUGGUAUUCCGGGGAGCAUGCCCGUUUCAGAAUCAUAAUAAUCUCACAAAGCUAUUUGCUUUCGAGCAUUUGGCCGUGUGGAAGUGGGUGUCUUGCAUUUGUCUGCAAAUGCCCAAAAAUGAUUGUAUAUGCACCAAUUGAGCAAAGUUGGUUGUCAAAGUGCAACAGAGGUCUACUUCCAUUCUCUUUGAUAAUUUGAUUUUGAACUUUGGACGCGUAUGCCUCCAUAUUUUAACAUUCGGCACGACGUGACGUUGUGCAGUUUGAAAUCUUGGUCUGAAAUCGGGCAAGAAAACCCGCUGAACUUAA